ensembl:lncRNA novel transcript
ACCCUCAGAACCUAGCUUUCCUGCCUGCCCCCAGGGCUAAUCCAGAGGUGGGGGAGGGGCUAAAGACACUGGGCUCUGCCAGGGGCCUUGGAUGAGCUUAUCAUGGAACAUAAGAAAAAUAAAACAGAUGUCAGCCUGUGUAUGAAGAAUUCAUCCACAAGAUUUGAACUGGAUUCGUGCCUGGGGUGAUUCAGGAUGUCCAGUUAAGCUGGGAAAUACUGAUUCCACUGAUCCCCUUCAUUCACUCAGAGCAGACCGAAGACUGUGAGACUUCCU